rnacentral:tRNA from 1 species
GCAUUCGUGGUGUAGUGGUCAGCACUUUCGGUGCGUAUUCGAGAGGUCCGUAGUUCGAGUCCCGGCGAGGGCA